UACAGAGGUGGCAAGCGUUGUUCGGAAUUACUGGGCGUAAAGGGCGCGUAGGCGGUUCGAUAAGUCCCGUGUGAAAUCCCUCGGCUCAACUGCGGAAUGGCACGGGAAACUGACGGGCUUGAGUUCGGGAGAGGGAAGCGGAAUUCCGGGUGUAGCGGUGAAAUGCGUAGAUAUCCGGAGGAACACCGGUGGCGAAGGCGGCUUCCUGGACCGACACUGACGCUGAGGCGCGAAAGCUAGGGGAGCAAACGGG
rnacentral:rRNA from 1 species